rnacentral:rRNA from 1 species
UUCAGCCAUCAGCAUGUUGAAUGCACCGGUUCUCCAUGGAUCACUGAAGUUAAGCAACAUUGCACGUGGUUGGUAUCUGGAUGGCUGACUUUGAGAAGAAAAAAAAAUACUCGUUUGUUGAAU